GCAAGGGGGGUUUCGGCCGGUAAAGUAGGCUAACACCGUCGCAUCGCUAGAAGAACUGAUUUUCGGACAGGCUUUGUUUGUGUAUGAGCUCCAUCACCUCCUCCAGAAAUGUGGACGGAUAUAAGGAAACUACUGAUCUUUCAUUUGUUUGUCCUAAAACACUGCUCAAAAGGAACAGAGGCAGAAGAGUGUGAGGAAGGCCAGUUUCAGUGCAAUAACAGAAGGUGUAUACCGACCAUAUGGAGGUGCGAUGACGAUGACGACUGCUCAGACAACAGCGACGAGGAAAACUGUGCCAGGAAGACGUGUGCCCCGGCAGAGUUUGCCUGUGCUAACGGCCAGUGUGUACCAGGCCGCUGGCGCUGUGAUGGGGAACCAGAGUGUCCCGACGGCUCGGAUGAGGCAGACGCCACCUGC